UACAGAGGGUGCGAGCGUUAAUCGGAAUUACUGGGCGUAAAGCGCGCGUAGGCGGUUUUGCAAGUCGGGUGUGAAAUCCCCAGGCUUAACCUGGGAACUGCAUUCGAGACUGCAUUACUAGAGUAUGGGAGAGGGAAGUGGAAUUUCCGGUGUAGCGGUGAAAUGCGUAGAUAUCGGAAGGAACAUCAGUGGACGAAAGCGACUUCCUGGACCAAUACUGACGCUCAUGUGCGAAAGCGUGGGGAGCAAACGGG
rnacentral:rRNA from 1 species